UAUGAGCUGUACGACUGGCGGAAAGCAUAUUAUACAGAGCUUUUAAUUGGUUAAAGUUAUGGAAUAUGUGUGGGAUUACCCACAGGGAGUACAGUAUAUAUAUGAUUAUCAGCCGACCGCCUGGGCAGCCCCU
rnacentral:ncRNA from 2 species